rnacentral:ncRNA from 1 species
GCCGGGUUAAGGUGCCCGAUGCUGACGCUCAUCAGACCCCAUGGCGGUGUUGGUUGAUAUAGACAGCAGGACGGUGGCCAUGGAAGUCGGAAUCCGCUAAGGAGUGUGUAACAACUCACCUGCCGAAUCAACUAGCCCUGAAAAUGGAUGGCGCUGGAGAGUCGGGCCCAUACCUGGC